rnacentral:rRNA from 1 species
AUGUCGAUCCGGAAGGCGCUGGGCGCGGUCAAGGACCAGGCCACCAUCGGCAUCGCCAAGGUGUCCAGCGCGGUGGCGCCGGACCUGGACGUGGCCAUCGUGCGCGCCACGGCGCACGACGACGGGCCCCCCGACGAGCGCCACGUGCAGGAGGUGCUCCGCCUCACCUCCGGCUCCUCCAGGGUCCACGUCGCCGCCUGCGUCGCCACCGUGUCGCGCCGCCUCGCCAGGACCCGCGACUACGUCGUCGCCGCCAAGUGCCUCGCGCUGCUCCACCGCCUCGUGGCCGACGGCGACCCGCACUUCCGCCACGAGCUCGUCCGCCCCGCCGUCUCCGCGGGCCGCCGCGGCGGCGUCGGCGGCGCGCCCGUGCUCGCGGCGCUCUCCGACUUCCGCGACGAGGCACACUCCGCGUCCUGGGACCACUCCGCCUUCGUGCGCGCCUACGCGCUCUACCUCGACGACCGCGUCCGCUUCCUCCUCGCCCUCCUCCCCGCGCCCCGCACAGUCCGCUUCGCCGACCACGACGGGUACGCCUACGGUGGCCGCGCCGCCGGGGGCGCCUCGCCGCCUCCGGACAUGACGGUCUCGGUGCACGACAUGGACGUGGAGGGGCUCCUGGCGCGCGGGCAGCAGCUGCGCCAGCUCAUCGACCGCUUCCUCGCCUGCCGCCCCACCGGGGCCGCCAGGCGCAGCCGCGUCGUGCUCGCCACGCUCUGGCCCGUCGUCAAGGAGAGCGGCCGGCUCUACGAGGACGUCGCCGUCGUGCUCGCCGUCCUGCUCGACCGCUUCUUCGACAUGGAGUACCCCGAGUGCGUCAAGGCCUUCGAGGCGCACGUCAGCACCGCCAGGCUCGUCGACGACCUCCUCGCCUUCUACUCGUGGUGCGACGACGCUGGCGUCGCGCGCUCCUCUGACUUCCCGGAGGUCAAGCGCAUCGACGACAAGCUCCUCGAGACGCUCGAGCAGUUCGUGCGGGAGCGCGGCAGGGCAGGCCAGAACUCGCCGCCGCCGCGACAGGCGCAGCACGCUGUCCACGACGAACACCACCAGGCAGAGUACGACAUGAACGGCAUCAAGGCGCUCCCGGCCCUAGAGCAGAUCAACGCUGCGACGGUUCCGCGACCAGAGCCGGCGAAAGCUAGCGUCGCGCCGGUGGCCAGGGCAGCUGAUCAGACUAACGACCUGGUGGACCUGAGGGAGUCCGCGGCAGCAGCCGACGAGCAGGGGAACAAGCUGGCGCUCGCGCUCUUCUCGGAGCAGCCACAGUCCGCGAACGGCAGCUGGGUCGCGUUCCCGUCCGACGACGGCGCCCCCAACCCCAAGGCGACGACGACCUCCGCGUGGCAGACGCCGGCGGCCGAGCCGGGGAAGGCCGACUGGGAGCUGGCCCUGGUGGAGACGGCGAGCAACCUGUCGCGCCAGACCGCGGCGCUGGGCGGCGGCAUGGACCCGCUCCUCCUGCACGGGAUGUACGACCAGGGCGCCGUGCGGCAGCACGCGCGCGCGCAGGCCGCGUCCGGGAGCGCGAGCAGCGUGGCGCUCCCGGGCGCUCCCGCCGCACACAACAUCCUGGCGCUCCCGGGGCCCGACGGCGCGGUCGGCGGCGACCCGUUCGCGGCGUCGCUGGCCGUGCCGCCGCCGUCGUACGUGCAGAUGGCCGAGAUGGAGCGGAAGCAGGAGCUGCUGGCGCAGGAGCAGAGGAUGUGGGCGCAGUACCGGCAGGGCGGGAUGCAGGGGCAGGCCGGCCUCAACGGGCUCGCCGUCGGCGGCGGCGGAAGCGCGUUCGCGUCCAACACCUCCGUGCCGAUGCCCAUGGCCUACCACUACCAUGGAGCCGGCGCGUACUACUACUAG